rnacentral:rRNA from 1 species
UUAAGCGACUAAGCGUACACGGUGGAUGCCCUGGCAGUCAGAGGCGAUGAAGGACGUGCUAAUCUGCGAAAAGCGUCGGUAAGGUGAUAUGAACCGUUAUAACCGGCGAUGUCCGAAUGGGGAAACCCAGUGUGAUUCGUCACACUAUCGUUAACUGAAUACAUAGGUUAACGAGGCGAACCGGGGGAACUGAAACAUCUAAGUACCCCGAGGAAAAGAAAUCAACCGAGAUUCCCCCAGUAGCGGCGAGCGAACGGGGAGCAGCCCAGAGUCUGAAUCAGCUUGUGUGUUAGUGGAACGGUCUGGAAAGUCCGACGGUACAGGGUGAUAGUCCCGUACACCAAAAUGCACAGGUUGUGAACUCGAAGAGUAGGGCGGGACACGUGGUAUCCUGUCUGAAUAUGGGGGGACCAUCCUCCAAGGCUAAAUACUCCUGACUGACCGAUAGUGAACCAGUACCGUGAGGGAAAGGCGAAAAGAACCCCGGCGAGGGGAGUGAAAAAGAACCUGAAACCGUGUACGUACAAGCAGUGGGAGCACCUUCGGUGUGACUGCGUACCUUUUGUAUAAUGGGUCAGCGACUUAUAUUCUGUAGCAAGGUUAACCGUAUAGGGGAGCCGCAGGGAAACCGAGUCUUAACUGGGCGUUAAGUUGCAGGGUAUAGACCCGAAACCCGGUGAUCUAGCCAUGGGCAGGUUGAAGGUUGGGUAACACUAACUGGAGGACCGAACCGACUAAUGUUGAAAAAUUAGCGGAUGACUUGUGGCUGGGGGUGAAAGGCCAAUCAAACCGGGAGAUAGCUGGUUCUCCCCGAAAGCUAUUUAGGUAGCGCCUCGUGAACUCAUCUUCGGGGUAGAGCACUGUUUCGGCUAGGGGGUCAUCCCGACUUACCAACCCGAUGCAAACUACGAAUACCGAAGAAUGUUAUCACGGGAGACACACGGCGGGUGCUAACGUCCGUCGUGAAGAGGGAAACAACCCAGACCGCCAGCUAAGGUCCCAAAGUCAUGGUUAAGUGGGAAACGAUGUGGGAAGGCACAGACAGCCAGGAUGUUGGCUUAGAAGCAGCCAUCAUUUAAAGAAAGCGUAAUAGCUCACUGGUCGAGUCGGCCUGCGCGGAAGAUGUAACGGGGCUAAACCAUGCACCGAAGCUGCGGCAGCGACACUAUGUGUUGUUGGGUAGGGGAGCGUUCUGUAAGCCUGCGAAGGUGACCUGUGAGGGUUGCUGGAGGUAUCAGAAGUGCGAAUGCUGACAUAAGUAACGAUAAAGCGGGUGAAAAGCCCGCUCGCCGGAAGACCAAGGGUUCCUGUCCAACGUUAAUCGGGGCAGGGUGAGUCGACCCCUAAGGCGAGGCCGAAAGGCGUAGUCGAUGGGAAACAGGUUAAUAUUCCUGUACUUGGUGUUACUGCGAAGGGGGGACGGAGAAGGCUAUGUUAGCCGGGCGACGGUUGUCCCGGUUUAAGCAUGUAGGCUGAUUGUCCAGGCAAAUCCGGAUAAUCAAGGCUGAGGUGUGAUGACGAGGCACUACGGUGCUGAAGUAACAAAUGCCCUGCUUCCAGGAAAAGCCUCUAAGCAUCAGGUAACAUCAAAUCGUACCCCAAACCGACACAGGUGGUCAGGUAGAGAAUACCAAGGCGCUUGAGAGAACUCGGGUGAAGGAACUAGGCAAAAUGGUGCCGUAACUUCGGGAGAAGGCACGCUGGUGUGUAGGUGAAGUCCCUGCGGAUGGAGCUGAGACCAGUCGAAGAUACCAGCUGGCUGCAACUGUUUAUUAAAAACACAGCACUGUGCAAACACGAAAGUGGACGUAUACGGUGUGACGCCUGCCCGGUGCCGGAAGGUUAAUUGAUGGGGUUAUCCGUAAGGAGAAGCUCUUGAUCGAAGCCCCGGUAAACGGCGGCCGUAACUAUAACGGUCCUAAGGUAGCGAAAUUCCUUGUCGGGUAAGUUCCGACCUGCACGAAUGGCGUAAUGAUGGCCAGGCUGUCUCCACCCGAGACUCAGUGAAAUUGAACUCGCUGUGAAGAUGCAGUGUACCCGCGGCAAGACGGAAAGACCCCGUGAACCUUUACUAUAGCUUGACACUGAACAUUGAGCCUUGAUGUGUAGGAUAGGUGGGAGGCUUUGAAGCGUGGACGCCAGUCUGCGUGGAGCCAACCUUGAAAUACCACCCUUUAAUGUUUGAUGUUCUAACGUUGGCCCCUUACCGGGGUUGCGGACAGUGUCUGGUGGGUAGUUUGACUGGGGCGGUCUCCUCCCAAAGCGUAACGGAGGAGCACGAAGGUUAGCUAAUCCUGGUCGGACAUCAGGAGGUUAGUGCAAUGGCAUAAGCUAGCUUGACUGCGAGCGUGACGGCGCGAGCAGGUGCGAAAGCAGGUCAUAGUGAUCCGGUGGUUCUGAAUGGAAGGGCCAUCGCUCAACGGAUAAAAGGUACUCCGGGGAUAACAGGCUGAUACCGCCCAAGAGUUCAUAUCGACGGCGGUGUUUGGCACCUCGAUGUCGGCUCAUCACAUCCUGGGGCUGAAGUAGGUCCCAAGGGUAUGGCUGUUCGCCAUUUAAAGUGGUACGCGAGCUGGGUUUAGAACGUCGUGAGACAGUUCGGUCCCUAUCUGCCGUGGGCGCUGGAGAAUUGAGGGGGGCUGCUCCUAGUACGAGAGGACCGGAGUGGACGCAUCACUGGUGUUCGGGUUGUCAUGCCAAUGGCACUGCCCGGUAGCUAAAUGCGGAAGAGAUAAGUGCUGAAAGCAUCUAAGCACGAAACUUGCCCCGAGAUGAGUUCUCCCUGAGACUUUAAGUCUCCUGAAGGAACGUUGAAGACGACGACGUUGAUAGGCCGGGUGUGUAAGCGCAGCGAUGCGUUGAGCUAACCGGUACUAAUGAACCGUGAGGCUUAACCUU